UAUAACAUCAAAAGCAAAAAUAAACAUCUUUUGCUACGCUAUACUCUAGCCACACAAACUUUUGAUACCAAACAUCUUGAAAACUUCUUAAUUGAUUGCCAAAUUGAGUUUUCGGAUAGCUAUGCCCAACUACUUGACAAUGCCCCAUAGAUAAUUACUCUCUACGUACUUGAUCGCGAAUAGCAAUUGAAAACUCCUCAAUUGGCUUUCUUAACCCCGGAUCACAAACGUAUUCAUCAAAAUUUGUUUCAUCUUUUACAUUUGCUUCAAUAGCAAGUGUAACUGAAUCACAUGAAGAUUGACCUCUACGUUUUUUUAGAGAAAAAAAAAACGUUCCAUUUCCUGUAAAAAUUAAUUAGUCUAAUUUAGCAUUCAUAAACAACAAAUUGCAAAUAUAAUUUUCAAUUACCCAAUUCACACAAAUUCAAACCAUUAACAUUUCACAAAUGCCAUUCUAAACUGCCAAUUACCCAAUUAAAACAAUUUCAUACAUUUCACCCAAUUCGCACGAAUUAAAAAAUAAAUCACCCACUGCCACUUGUAUCUUCAUUAUUAAAAUUAUUUUGCAUCUUCACUUCACAUAUUAAAAAAAUCACCAACAAAUCACCAUUAAAAAAUCACCCACUGCGAACAACUAGGGAUGUGAUAGGGACGGAGGAUGUGAUGCGUUGGGAUCUAACCAGCCACGGUUACUCAUCAUCUACAUCUACUUGUUGCGGCGGGAAACUCACCGAUAUUCAUUGGUGAGGAUGUGCUCCCCCGAUUGACUUCAUGCCACCAGAUCCCCCCGUGAUGAGGACUCUUCGCUCCACUAUGGUGCUCUGGCUCCCUUCGGAGUCCCCAUGGGUGAAGCUGAAUACUGAUGGAUCUUACGACUCACAGACGCAGCAUGGUGCCGGUGGAUAAGCGGUUCGUGAUCACACUUGAGCCCUCAUUACUACUUUCUGCACCCCCUAUGUUGCCACUUUCAGUUUUGAGGCUGAUUAGCUGCUUUGCUCGAGGGUCUUAGGCUGGCUAUUACUUUCUCAACUAAUAUAUAGGUUGAGCUGGAUGUUGCGGCGAUCGUUUUGCUCAUUUCUACUGAGCAUCACAGUCAUGCUAGCAUACGUCAUACCGUUUGUUGGAUCUGACAACUUAUUCAGAUUAGGUGAGUCCGUUUCACUCACAUCCAUCGCGAUGGAAACCGGCCUGCUGACUUUAUGGAAAUGAGAGGGCACCAGGCCCAAUCAUUGACUACUUUCGACUGUUUUUCUGCUCCUCGUCAUUUUCUUGCUUUGGUUAGGAUGGACCAGCUUGGUUAUCUUAACAUUAUAUUCAGAUUUCAUGUUGAUAGUUAGUCUGUUUUGGUUUAUUUUCUUUUUGAUAUUGUUUCCUUUGUCCUCUAGAUGUACUCACUUUUGGGCUACAUCUAUGUAUGAUUUUGAUAUGUCUGAUUUCUGUUUCUCCCUAUGGUUUA